rnacentral:rRNA from 1 species
UACGUAGGGGGCAAGCGUUUGUCCGGAUUUAUUGGGCGUAAAGAGCGUGUAGGCGGCCAGAUAGGUCCGUUGUGAAAACUCGAGGCUCAACCUCGAGACGCCGAUGGAAACCAUCUGGCUAGAGUCCGGAAGAGGAGAGUGGAAUUCCUGGUGUAGCGGUGAAAUGCGCAGAUAUCAGGAAGAACACCCGUGGCUAAGGCGGCUCUCUAGUACGGUACUGACGCUGAGGAGCGAAAGCGUGGGGAGCAAA